UAUCCCUGGACGAACGAUCUUUCCUCUUGUAUAAUCGGAUUUUUGAACUUGGAGUACGGUGCUGGAGCUUGCUCCACCCUGCUCAUGGGUUGUCCUGGUAUUGCAUUGCCUCCAGGUUCGGCUCACGUUUC
rnacentral:snRNA from 1 species